rnacentral:sRNA from 1 species
AUUAGCCAUGAACAAACCUGACCUUUUAUUCCAUCGUGUGUGUAACGUGGUGUGACAUGGUUCCCUUUAGGCUGAAGACAGUGGGAGCAGCCGAGUUCAGUCCUUGCUCUCCAACUAGGCAAGGUUCUCUCAACUAAACCAAGGGUCCCCUUCCCCUGAGCCCAUCUACAAUAGCGAGGGGAAGCGGCUUAACACCCGAGAGUUCCGCACCCGCAAAAAGCUGGAAGAGGAGCGGCACAACCUCAUCACAGAGAUGGUUGCACUCAAUCCGGAUUUCAAGCCACCUGCAGAUUACAAACCUCCAGCAACACGUGUGAGUGAUAAAGUCAUGAUUCCACAAGAUGAAUACCCAGAAAUCAACUUUGUGGGGCUGCUCAUCGGGCCCAGAGGGAACACCCUGAAGAACAUAGAGAAGGAGUGCAAUGCCAAGAUUAUGAUCCGGGGGAAAGGGUCUG